UAGGGAAUCUUCCGCAAUGGACGCAAGUCUGACGGAGCAACGCCGCGUGAGUGAAGAAGGAUUUCGGUUCGUAAAACUCUGUUGUUAGAGAAGAACAGCGCAUAGAGUAACUGUUAUGCGUGUGACGGUAUCUAACCAGAAAGCCACGGCUAACUACGUGCCAGCAGCCGCGGUAAUACGUAGGUGGCAAGCGUUGUCCGGAUUUAUUGGGCGUAAAGCGAGCGCAGGCGGUCAAUUAAGUCUGAUGUGAAAGCACCCGGCUCAACCGGGGAGGGUCAUUGGAAACUGGUUGACUUGAGUGCAGAAGAGGAGAGUGGAAUUCCAUGUGUAGCGGUGAAAUGCGUAGAUAUAUGGAGGAACACCAGUGGCGAAGGCGACUCUCUGAUCUGUAACUGACGCUGAGGCUCGAAAGCGUGGGUAGCAAACAGG
rnacentral:rRNA from 1 species